AUUGAACGCUGGCGGCAGGCCUAACACAUGCAAGUCGAACGAGUGGCGGACGGGUGAGUCAUGUCUGGGAAACUGCCUGAGGGAGGGGGUUAACUCCUGGAAACGGUAGCUACUACCGCAUACCAUCAGAUGUGCCCAGAUGGGAUUAGCUAGUGGGUGGGGUAACGGCUCACCAGGGCGACGAUCCCUAGCUGGUCUGAGAGGAGGACCAGCAACACUGGAACUGAGACACGGUCCAGACUCCUACGGGAGGCAGCAGUGGGGAAUAUUGCACAAGGGGGGAAAGCCUGAUGCAGCCAGGCCGCGUGUAUGAAGAAGGCCUUCGGGUUGUAAAGUACUUUCAGCGGGGAGGCGUUACCCGCAGAAGAAGCACCGGCUAACUCCGUGCCAGCAGCCGCGGUAAUUC
rnacentral:rRNA from 1 species